rnacentral:rRNA from 1 species
UACGUAGGGUGCGAGCGUUGUCCGGAAUUAUUGGGCGUAAAGAGCUUGUAGGCGGUUUGUCGCGUCUGCUGUGAAAAUCCGGGGCUCAACCCCGGACUUGCAGUGGGUACGGGCAGACUGGAGUGUGGUAGGGGAGACUGGAAUUCCUGGUGUAGCGGUGGAAUGCGCAGAUAUCAGGAGGAACACCGAUGGCGAAGGCAGGUCUCUGGGCCACUACUGACGCUGAGAAGCGAAAGCGUGGAGCA